UCCAAUUCUAGAGCUGAACAAUCUGAGUUUGAACCCUAAUUCUGGCACUUGUUGUGUGACCUGAGGUGAAUUAUUUAACUUCUCUGUGCCUUGUUUCAUUAAGCUGCAAAUAUGAAUUAUACCAGUGCUUACUUUAUGUGUUUAUCCUAAGGAUUAACUAAAUUAGUGUGUUUAAAGUUCUUGGAGAGGAACCCAGAACACAAGAAGAGCUAUGGGAGCUUCAGGUAUCAUUAUAAUUGGAUCCAUUUGAACAUUCAUCAUUUGGCCACUGAAAACCCAUUAUAUUCCAGACAGUGUUCUACCAACUCAUGAUACCGAGUGAAUGAGACAAACGAGAGCUCUGAAUUUAUGAUACCUAUGCAGCAGUCGAGGAGGCAGAUGAUAAACAAAAACAGUAUACCUUUCAGGCAGUGAUAAAUAUUGUUUAAAAAUGACGGGGAGGGAUGUCACAGACAGUGACCGAGAUCAAGGGCUGUCUGAGCAGAAAAUCUUCUGGACGACACAGAUGUUGAGACCUCAAUUCUAUCUCCUCGGUGAGGAACACUAAGCAGAAGCAAGUUCCAUCAUUCUCCAUUCUUCAAGCGUCUAUAAUGACAGCUCCUUCCUAUUUUAACGUUAUACAUUUUAUGUAUACACCAUAGAUAUUUUUAAGGAUAAUGAAUAAAACAGCUAAUGACCAAGAUGUUUGGAAAGUAGGAGCUUGUCUCUAUGGAGAGUCACCCCAAAUGACAGGACCAACAGGACAGGAGGGAAGAAACAGAGGAACAUCGUCGCUCCACUCCAACAUCCUCCCAGGCCCUCCAGGCAGUUCAGACUUCAGUCACCUACGUCCUGUCAUCAGUCAACUUCAGGAAACUUUUCAAAAUUGUUGCCCAAUCUACAAGGACAGGAGGAGGAGCUGCCCAGUCGAAUGAGAGAAAUUGCCUGAACUGCACUGGGAAGAGUUUCCAGAGCACUGGAAAAGAGAAGACACUGCCACAUGGCAGUAGGUGGAUUAAGAGCUUUCACUUGAAUUGUAUCAUGUAAAUUGUGAACAGUCCUGCAAGGUAGACAUCACUUUUUCGAUUCUGUAGAUGAGAAACCCACAUCAACACAUAGAAAACAAUACCCCUGCUCUUUGUCCUAAGCCACAUGUGAAUUUUUGAUUUCUUGAACACUCAGUAUGUGCCAUGCACUCCCAUGGAACUGAUUUCUACUCAUUGCUCUGGUUUGUCUCAGACUGAAGAUGAGGUGAAACUUCUUAGCCAUGACAGGCUUUGGCCAGAAGAAAACCGUAGAGCUUCAUUCUUUCCUUGUACUCUGUGAAUGACUACA
rnacentral:lncRNA from 1 species